ACGGUCAUGUUACAUUGUAAACACCGGUUCUCGUUCGAUCAUAAAAGUUAAGCAAUAUCAGGCCCGGUCAGUACUUGGGAGGGUGACCACUUGGGAACACCGGGUGCUGUGAGC